GACUUAACCAUUAGUUUACUAUUGGAGCGGUUAGUGGCGGACUGGUGAGUAACACGUAAGCAACCUGCCUAUCAGAGGGGAACAACAGUUAGAAAUGACUGCUAAUACCGCAUAUGCCUUGAGUAUCGCAUGGUACAAGAGGGAAAGAAGCAAUUCGCUGAUAGAUGGGCUUGCGUCUGAUUAGAUAGUUGGUGUGGUAACGGCAUACCAAGUCUACGAUCAGUAGCCGGACUGAGAGGUUGAACGGCCACAUUGGGACUGAGAUACGGCCCAGACUCCUACGGGAGGCAGCAGUCGGGAAUAUUGCGCAAUGGAGGAAACUCUGACGCAGUGACGCCGCGUGCAGGAAGAAGGUUUUCGGAUUGUAAACUGCUUUAGACAGGGAAGAAACAAGACAGUACCUGUAGAAUAAGCUCCGGCUAACUACGUGCCAGCAGCCGCGGUAAUACGUAGGGAGCAAGCGUUAUCCGGAUUUAUUGGGUGUAAAGGGUGCGUAGACGGGAAAGCAAGUUAGUUGUGAAAUCCCUCGGCUUAACUGAGGAACUGCAACUAAAACUACUUUUCUUGAGUGCUGGAGAGGAAAGUGGAAUUCCUAGUGUAGCGGUGAAAUGCGUAGAUAUUAGGAGGAACACCAGUGGCGAAAGCGACUUUCUGGACAGUAACUGACGUUGAGGCACGAAAGCGUGGGGAGCAAAC
rnacentral:rRNA from 1 species